CCAUAUUUUCUUGAACAAGUAUCAAUCUGGAUGGAAUAGCGUUAGUAAAUGAUGGACAUUUAUCCACCACCGGUGAUUCUAAUUGCCAAGAGGGCUUGAUGGGAAUAAGUUCGCCAUGCCAUUUUCCAAUUAGCUCGGGAACUCGGGACAGCCCACGUC